AUGCAGCAGUUCGUUAAAGACGUCAGAGAGAUGAAGCUCCUGGAAGAAAAACUCAGCGAGCCUCAGAUGUCCAAGAAGGAGCAAAAAAAUGCAGAAAAGAAGUUGCAGAAAGAACGUGAGGAGAGGGAGAAACAGGAGAAGAAGGAUCGUAAGGAGAGGGAGAAACAGGAAAAGAAAGAACGUGAGGAGAGGGAGAAACAGGAGAAGAAGGAUCGAAAGGAGAGGGAGAAACAAGAGAAGAAGGAUCGUAAGGAGAGGGAGAAAGUGGAAAAGAAGCAACGUAAGGAGGCAGCAAAAAAUCCUUCCAGUUAUGAGGAGCUGGUCUCUAAACUUUGCUCAGUCCAAAGCCAGCUAGAAACUGAGAAGCAGACUGUCCUGGAAAGAGACGGUCUGAUCCACAAGCUGGCAGAAGAGAAGUGUUCCCUGCAAGAGGAGCUGGACCAGGCCAACCAGACUGUCCUGGAAAGAGACGGUCUGAUCCACAAGCUGGCAGAAGAGAAGUGUUCCCUGCAAGAGGAGCUGGACCAGGCCAACCAGACUGUCCUGGAAAGAGACAGUCUGAUCCACAAGCUGGCAGAAGAGAAGUGUUCCCUGCAAGAGGAGCUGGACCAGGCCAACCAGACUGUCCUGGAAAGAGACGGUCUGAUCCACAAGCUGGCAGAAGAGAAGUGUUCCCUGCUAGAGGAGCUGGACCAGGCCAACCAGACUGUCCUGGAAAGAGACGGUCUGAUCCACAAGCUGGCGGAAGAGAAGUGUUCCCUGCUAGAGGAGCUGGACCAGUCCAUCGCUGAAACUGAAGACGUCAGCAAGGAACUGGACCAACGCACUAAAAAAUGUGUGGAGUCAUUAAAUAUGCUAUCCAUUCUGCAAGCUGACGUGGACCAGGCCAACCAGACUGUCCUGGAAAGAGACGGUCUGAUCCACAAGCUGGCAGAAGAGAAGUGUUCCCUGCAAGAGGAGCUGGACCAGGCCAACCAGACUGUCCUGGAAAGAGACGGUCUGAUCCACAAGCUGGCAGAAGAGAAGUGUUCCCUGCUAGAGGAGCUGGACCAGGCCAACCAGACUGUCCUGGAAAGAGACGGUCUGAUCCACAAGCUGGCGGAAGAGAAGUGUUCCCUGCUAGAGGAGCUGGACCAGUCCAUCGCUGAAACUGAAGACGUCAGCAAGGAACUGGACCAACGCACUAAAAAAUGUAUGGAGUCAUUAAAUAUGCUAUCCAUUCUGCAAGCUGACGUGGACCAGGCCAACCAGACUGUCCUGGAAAGAGACGGUCUGAUCCACAAGCUGGUAGAAGAUAAGUGUUCCCUGCUAGAGGAGCUGUACCAGGCCAACCAGACUGUCCUGGAAAGAGACGGUCUGAUCCACAAGCUGGCGGAAGAGAAGUGUUCCCUGCUAGAGGAGCUGGACCAGGCCAACCAGACUGUCCUGGAAAGAGACGGUCUGAUCCACAAGCUGGCGGAAGAGAAUCGUUCCCUGCAAGAGGAGAUGGACCAGGCCAUCGCUGAAACUGAAGACGUCAGCAAGGAACUGGACCAACGCACUAAAAAAUGUGUGGAGUCAUUAAAUAUGCUAUCCAUUCUGCAAGCUGACGUGGACCAGGCCAACCAGACUGUCCUGCAAAAAGACGGUCUGAGCCAUAACCUGGUGGAGGAGAAGUCUUCCCUGGAAGAGGAGCUGAAACUUGAGCAGCAGGCUAUAAAAGAAAGCCUAGAGAAGGUUCAGCCUCUUCCUCAUGAGCAAGAGGAACAGUUAACUCUGCUCAAGGACAGUAAUGAAGAGCUCUCUUUAAAGGUUUCUGAACAGCAGAACCCCAUCAACUCCCUGCCGGCUGAAAACGCAGUUCUCCAUGAACAAGUGAAGGAGAGCGAAGCCAGGCUCAGACAGAAGGAGGUCCAAAAGGAGGAGGACGCAACAUCUGAACUCCUCACAAAGGGGUCCUCUAGGAAGGAGCUGAAAAAGGCUAAGAGGCUGCAGAAACAACAGAGAAAGCAGGAGAAUAGAAAGAAAGAAGAGGAACUCCUCACAAUCCUGUUCUAUACAAGUCAGGAUCAGGAUCCGAUUUACGAGGUUAAUGACGACGAAGGGGAAAUUUACCUUUGUUCGUACAGACGCAGAGAAGAAAAGGAUUACUGA
ensembl:lncRNA